GACGAACGCUGGCGGCGUGCUUAACACAUGCAAGUCGAACGGAAAGGCCCCUUUGGGGGUCCUCGAGUGGCGAACGGGUGAGUAACACGUGAGUAACCUGCCCUUGACUUCGGGAUAACUUCAGGAAACUGGGGCUAAUACCGGAUAGGAAUCCUUGCUGCAUGGUGGGGGUUGGAAAGCUUCGGCGGUUUUGGAUGGACUCGCGGCUUAUCAGCUUGUUGGUGGGGUAGUGGCUUACCCAGGCUUUGACGGGGAGCCGGCCCGGGGGGGGGACCGGCCAAAUUGGGGACGGAGAUACGCCCAGGCCUCUUCCGGGAGGAAGCGGGGGGGAAUAUGGUCAAAGGGGCGGAGCCUUGUUCAGCAACGCCCCGGGCGGGGAGGCCGGUUUUGGGGUUGAAAACGGCUUCAGCAGGGGCGAAGGUGGUAGUGACGGUACCGGCAGAAGAAGCACCGGCUAACUACGUG
rnacentral:rRNA from 1 species